AGCGAACGCUGGCGGUAGGCCUAACACAUGCAAGUCGAACGGCAGCACAGGAGAGCUUGCUCUCUGGGUGGCGAGUGGCGGACGGGUGAGGAAUACAUCGGAAUCUACCUUUUCGUGGGGGAUAACGUAGGGAAACUUACGCUAAUACCGCAUACGACCUACGGGUGAAAGUGGGGGACCGCAAGGCCUCACGCGAUUAGAUGAGCCGAUGUCCGAUUAGCUAGUUGGCGGGGUAAUGGCCCACCAAGGCGACGAUCGGUAGCUGGUCUGAGAGGAUGAUCAGCCACACUGGAACUGAGACACGGUCCAGACUCCUACGGGAGGCAGCAGUGGGGAAUAUUGGACAAUGGGCGCAAGCCUGAUUCAGCCAUACCGCGUGGGUGAAGAAGGCCUUCGGGUUGUAAAGCCCUUUUGUUGGGAAAGAAAUCCUGUCGAUUAAUACUCGGUGGGGAUGACGGUACCCAAAGAAUAAGCACCGGCUAACUUCGUGCCAGCCGCCGCGGUAACAC
rnacentral:rRNA from 1 species